rnacentral:rRNA from 1 species
CCCGCUGAACUUAAGCAUAUCAAUAAGCGGAGGAAAAGAAACUAACAAGGAUUCCCCUAGUAACUGCGAGUGAAGCGGGAAAAGCUCAAAUUUAAAAUCUGGUGGUCUUUGGCUGCCCGAGUUGUAAUCUGGAGAAGCGUUUAUCCGCGUCGGACCGUGUACAAGUCUUCUGGAAGGGAGCGUCGUAGAGGGUGAGAAUCCCGUCUUUGACACGGACAACCGGUGCUUUUGUGAUGCGCUCUCGAAGAGUCGAGUUGUUUGGGAAUGCAGCUCAAAAUGGGUGGUAAAUUCCAUCUAAAGCUAAAUAUUGGCGAGAGACCGAUAGCGAACAAGUACCGUGAGGGAAAGAUGAAAAGAACUUUGGAAAGAGAGUUAAACAGUACGUGAAAUUGCUGAAAGGGAAACGCUUGAAGUCAGUCGCGUCAUCCAGGGAUCAACCUUGCUUUUGCUUGGUGUACUUUCUGGUUGACGGGUCAGCAUCAAUUUUGACCAUUGGAAAAAGAUAAAGGGAAUGUGGCAUACAUAGUGAUGUGUUAUAGCCCUUGGUUGCAUACAAUGGUUGGGAUUGAGGAACUCAGCACGCCGCAAGGCCGGGUUUUUAUUAACCACGUACGUGCUUAGGAUGUUGGCAUAAUGGCUUUAAUCGACCCGUCUUGAAACACGG